rnacentral:rRNA from 1 species
AUUGAACGCUGGCGGCAGGCCUAACACAUGCAAGUCGAACGAGUGGCGGACGGGUGAGUAAUGUCUGGGAAACUGCCUGAUGGAGGGGGAUAACUACUGGAAACGGUAGCUAAUACCGCAUACCAUCAGAUGGGCACAUAUGGGAUUAGCUUGUAGGUGGGGUAAAGCCUCACCAAGGCUAAGAUCCCUAGCGGGGCUGAGAGGAGGACCAGCCACACGGUAACUGGGACACGGUCCAGACUCCUACGGGAGGCAGCAGUGGGGAAUAUUGCACAAUGGGCGCAAGCCUGAUGCAGCCAUGCCGCGUGUAUGAAGAAGGCCUUCGGGUUGUAAAGUACUUUCAGCGGGGAGGCGUUACCCGCAGAAGAAGCACCGGCUAACUCCGUGCCAGCAGCCGCGGUAAUAC